rnacentral:rRNA from 1 species
AGAUUGAACGCUGGCGGCAUGCCUAACACAUGCAAGUCGAACGGGAGUAGCAAUACUCUAGUGGCGGACGGGUGAGGAAUACGUAGGAAUUUGCCCUUAAGUGGGGGAUAACCCGGGAAACCCGGAUUAAUACCGCAUGACCUCGAAAGAGCAAAGUGGGGGAUCACAAGACCUCACGCUUUUGGAGAAGCCUACGUCGGAUUAGCUAGUUGGUGAGGUAAUGGCUCACCAAGGCGACGAUCCGUAACUGGUCUGAGAGGAUGAUCAGUCACACCGGAACUGAGACACGGUCCGACUCCGUACGGGAGGCGGCAGGUGGGGAAUAGUUGGACAAGUGGGCGCGAAGCCUGAUCCAAGCAAGUGACCGCGUGUAG